CCUACGGGGGGCAGCAGUGGGGAAUUUUGGACAAUGGGCGAAAGCCUGAUCCAGCAAUGCCGCGUGAGUGAAGAAGGCCUUCGGGUUGUAAAGCUCUUUUGUUUGGGAAGAAAUCCCUAAGGAUAAUACCCUUGGGGGAUGACGGUACCAAAAGAAUAAGCACCGGCUAACUACGUGCCAGCAGCCGCGGUAAUACGUAGGGGAAUUGCUGUAAUCGGAAUUACCGGACGUAAAGCUGUCGCACAGGUGUGAAAUCCCCGAGCUCAACUUGGGAACUGCACUUGUGACUGCAAGACUAGAGUGUGUCAGAGGGAGGUAGAAUUCCACGUGUAGCAGUGAAAUGCGUAGAUAUGUGGAGGAAUACCAGUGGCGAAGGCGGCCUCCUGGGAUAACACUGACGCUCAUGUACGAAAGCGUGGGGAGCAAACAGGAUUAGAUACCCGGGUAGUC
rnacentral:rRNA from 1 species